GCAGUCGAGCGGACCGACGGGAGCUUGCUCCCUUAGGUCAGCGGCGGACGGGUGAGUAACACGUGGGUAACCUGCCUGUAAGACUGGGAUAACUCCGGGAAACCGGGGCUAAUACCGGAUGCUUGAUUGAACCGCAUGGUUCAAUCAUAAAAGGCGGCUUCGGCUGCCGUUUACAGAUGGACCCGCGGCGCAUUAGCUAGUUGGUGAGGUAACGGCUCACCAAGGCGACGAUGCGUAGCCGACCUGAGAGGGUGAUCGGCCACACUGGGACUGAGACACGGCCCAGACUCCUACGGGAGGCAGCAGUAGGGAAUCUUCCGCAAUGGACGAAAGUCUGACGGAGCAACGCCGCGUGAGUGAUGAAGGUUUUCGGAUCGUAAAGCUCUGUUGUUAGGGAAGAACAAGUACCGUUCGAAUAGGGCGGUACCUUGACGGUACCUAACCAGAAAGCCACGGCUAACUACGUGCCAGCAGCCGCGGUAAUACGUAGGUGGCAAGCGUUGUCCGGAAUUAUUGGGCGUAAAGCGCGCGCAGGCGGUUUCUUAAGUCUGAUGUGAAAGCCCCCGGCUCAACCGGGGAGGGUCAUUGGAAACUGGGGAACUUGAGUGCAGAAGAGGAGAGUGGAAUUCCACGUGUAGCGGUGAAAUGCGUAGAGAUGUGGAGGAACACCAGUGGCGAAGGCGACUCUCUGGUCUGUAACUGACGCUGAGGCGCGAAAGCGUGGGGAGCGAACAGGAUUAGAUACCCUGGUUAGUCCACGCC
rnacentral:rRNA from 1 species